rnacentral:rRNA from 1 species
UGGGGAAUUUGGACAAUGGGCGAAAGCCUGAUCCAGCAAUGCCGCGUGUGUGAAGAAGGCCUUCGGGUUGUAAAGCACUUUUGUCCGGAAAGAAAUCCUUGGCUCUAAUACAGUCGGGGGAUGACGGUACCGGAAGAAUAAGCACCGGCUAACUACGUGCCAGCAGCCGCGGUAAUACGUAGGGUGCAAGCGUUAAUCGGAAUUACUGGGCGUAAAGCGUGCGCAGGCGGUUUGCUAAGACCGAUGUGAAAUCCCCGGGCUCAACCUGGGAACUGCAUUGGUGACUGGCAGGCUAGAGUAUGGCAGGAGGGGGGUAGAAUUCCACGUGUAGCAGUGAAAUGCGUAGAGAUGUGGAGGAAUACCGAUGGCGAAGGCAGCCCCUGGGCCAAAUACUGACGCUCAUGCACGAAAAGCGUGGGGAGCAAAACAGGAUUAGAUACCCUGGUAGUCCACGCCCUAAAACGAUGUCAACUAGUUGUUGGGGAUUCAUUUCCUUAGUAACGUAGCUAACGCGUGAAGUUGACCGCCUGGGGAGUACGUCGCAAGAUUAAAACUCAAAUGAAUUGACGGGGUCAUAGCUG